rnacentral:rRNA from 1 species
GAACGCUGGCGGCGUGCCUAAUACAUGCAAGUCCAGCGAACAGAUGAGGAGCUUGCUCCUCUGACGUUAGCGGCGGACGGGUGAGUAACACGUGGAUAACCUACCUAUAAGACUGGGAUAACUUCGGGAAACCGGAGCUAAUACCGGAUAAUAUAUUGAACCGCAUGGUUCAAUAGUGAAAGACGGUUUUGCUGUCACUUAUAGAUGGAUCCGCGCCGCAUUAGCUAGUUGGUAAGGUAACGGCUUACCAAGGCAACGAUGCGUAGCCGACCUGAGAGGGUGAUCGGCCACACUGGAACUGAGACACGGUCCAGACUCCUACGGGAGGCAGCAGUAGGGAAUCUUCCGCAAUGGGCGAAAGCCUGACGGAGCAACGCCGCGUGAGUGAUGAAGGUCUUCGGAUCGUAAAACUCUGUUAUUAGGGAAGAACAAAUGUGUAAGUAACUAUGCACGUCUUGACGGUACCUAAUCAGAAAGCCACGGCUAACUACGUG